UACGGAGGGGGCUAGCGUUGCUCGGAAUCACUGGGCGUAAAGGGUGCGUAGGCGGGUCUUUAAGUCAGGGGUGAAAUCCUGGAGCUCAACUCCAGAACUGCCUUUGAUACUGAAGAUCUUGAGUUCGGGAGAGGUGAGUGGAACUGCGAGUGUAGAGGUGAAAUUCGUAGAUAUUCGCAAGAACACCAGUGGCGAAGGCGGCUCACUGGCCCGGUACUGACGCUGAGGUGCGAAAGCGUGGGGAGCAAACAGGG
rnacentral:rRNA from 1 species